AGCACACAAGGAGAGCAGGAGGGAGGUAUGAACUUCAUGAAGCCCAGGCUGGGGAUAUGCUGUGGAACCCUGGCCAUGAAGCUCCAAAAAACAAGAGGAAUCCAUGGGAUAGGUCUCUUUUCCCUGUUUCAGCAGGAGGAGAGCAACUGGCCCUAUCCAUCCCCGGCAUAUCAUCCCUCCAGUAGUUGUUGCCAGGGAUUAUGGAUUUCUUCUCAUGCAACAUGAAGGGUGCUGGUCAGGCAGACCUUACAUGCAAAGGGAAGAAGAACUUUCCUGCUUUAUCCAAAUUGAUUGUUCAUACUGCUGUACAGCCAAUCACACAAUUAGCCUGUAUCAUUUGAGUGUGAAUGUCUUUUGUGUAUUACAAGAGCUGUCAUGAUUAGCCAAUUUUGAUUUAUGUUAUAGAUGCUUGAGCAAGUAUUUCAUGUUUGCUGGAUCUUAAGUUUUGUGCUAGAAUGGGUGAGAAAUGGGUUAAAAUGUUGAAAAUCUCCUCCUGUAAUAUUGGGCAGCAGCGAUAUAGGAAGAUGCUGAAAGGCAUCAUCUCAUACUGCGCGGGAGUUGGCAAUGGUAAACCCCUCCUGUAUUCUACCAAUGAAAACCACAGGGCUCUGUGGUCUCCAGGAGUCGACACCGACUCGACGGCACACUUUACCCUCAAUGUUUUUUAAAAAGCCAGUUUCUAACAUUCUUGGCUCCAGAGAACACUUGAAAAUACAGCUGUACUUCUCAAACUCUGAACUAAUUGGGAUCUAAGCGUGCAGCAAAGCCAGGGCCAAUUUAAGCCAUUUUCCUCUGCAGCAUUUACAAGGGACCCCAAGGUUCGCCAAGUAAUCAGAAGUGAAUUUCAGGACCACUUGCAAUGGCAUAGAGUGGCACAACCUUUGACUUUGCUCACGCAGACGUAAGCAAUGCAACAACUAUGCUUCAGAAUCCUUUGUGACAUUGCAAUGGAUUCUGGGCUGUAUUUGUCGGAUCAUGCAAUGCUGCUUCAGCAGCCCUAAAAAAUAUGGCCACCCCCAAGCACCUGCUUGACUUGCUUGUGCUGUCAGGAAUCGGGAUGGCCCGAGGUGAAGAAACUCCAGCAAUCCUCCCCUGCGCACAUGAACCCAGAGUCAAGGCAUUAGUGGUUACUCCAUGUGUGUGGACACUAGCAUAGGGUUAUGUGAAUCAGCGCUCAGUCAGAGAGAGCAUCAAUGUUCAGCAAAGUCAUGAGGAAACCCACAGUCUAAAACGUUGUCACUGCCCUGUACUUCCUUACAGCCUCUAUGGGUGACUUCAGCUUAAGAGAAAUUUGUUGCUCCUCUUGGCAAAUGUCCUCUUCUUGUCUCUCUUUUGUUCUUCCCUCUUUGCCCUCUUGCACAGUUGUCACAUACCAUGAUUCACCUGACAUGGCAGAGUGAUGAGACAAAGAACAAUCCCUUCCUCCAGGACAAAUCGUGCCUCACCUUCCCACCUCUGCUGUAAGGGUGUCACAGUUCACGCUGCCCCCGUUGACCUGGGCUGAUGGAGUGUGGGCUGUGUUGCUUCUCUGGAGAUGUGCCUCUGGGUUUCAUUGAGGUAGUAAAGCUGUGCUUGAGCUUUACCAAUUCAGGUAUGUGUGUGGGGGUGGGGGUGGGCCGUGUGUGUGACAUUAUUUAGUGCUCCUCUGUACACCUCCCCCCACCCUGCAAAACUCCCACAUCGAAAACUAGCAUGUCAGGGAAGGCAAGAACCCCUACAUUGUUUUAAAAAAACAACAGAAGACACAUCUUUUUGGAAUGGCUUUUAAAUAUUUUAUCUGCUGCUACAUCUGGUAGGCUUUUAAGUUUUACUUGAAACUAUUAUGAUUUAGUUUUAAUUUGAAACUUUUAGAAUUUGUAACUUUAAAUGUGGCUCGAGCUUGUCUGUUAGCUUUUUAAAUUGUAUUAAUUUCUUAUUGUUUUAUGUUGCAGCUAUUUUAUUAAUGUUGUAAGCUGCCCUGAGUAGUAGUGGACUGGAAAGGUGGGGUAUAAAUAUUUUAAAUAAAUAAAUAGCAUUCUAAAUGGAAGGAA